ACCCAGAUCUCAAACUUUUUAGUAUCAAGAUUCCUUUACAAAUUCAUUGAGGACCCCAAAGAGCUUUUGGUUAUUUCAUGUACGGAGAAAACCCUGCCUCACACAGAUACAUGGUUGGAAAAGGAAGGACCUGGCUGGCCCUCUGCAAGAUCUCUGGGCUUACAGUGAUCCUCUCUCAGCCUACACAUUAGGAACCACUGACUAGAACAAAGUGGAAGUGAAAUAUUACUGUCCAUCUUGACACAAAUGAGGAAGUAGCCCCAGGACUACAAAACAGGAACUCCGGGGCCCAGAGAAGAGAGAGAAGAAAACUCACAAAUAGCCGUCAAUGAAAAGCAAUGUCCUCACCCACUGACUUUUCCUAAAUAUUAAUGCUGCCGCUGUCUGCUGGAGGAAGGAGACGGUGGAUAGAAAUGAAACAAAGAAAACCCAAAAACAUUGGGAAAUCCGAAGACCUCAAAGUUUUAUUUCUGUGAAAGCCUCUGGAUCACCGAUGAGCUAGCAGUCUGACAAAGUCAGGCCUCAGAAUUCCUUCCUUAGAUUGUCAAAGGACUAGGAACAGCAUGGCCUGAUGUGUCCACCAAGCAACAAUGUGGGAGCAAGAAAAAAACUGGAUUCUCUUCUGUGUAAUAAUGUGACUUCCUGAUUCUAUGGAAUACUACUGAUUGCAGGGAUGGACUCUGGAAGGCCAGCCAUGCAGGGCUUUUACUUAAGCACACCCAAAGGAUGCGCAUUUCAGACAUCUUAAUGGACCAGACCCUCACAAAAGAAUGAAAAGCAUUUGAAGACAGGAAGCACAGAAGCAUGGAAGAAUUUGAUUUAAUGAAAAUAUAGGCUCCUGGAAACUCUACUCUGCCUUUAAUUCUCAUACUUCAAAUAUUACAAAUGAGGGCUGAACCCCUAAUUCUAAUAAGAUUAGAGUCUGUCUCUGAUUGGAGAGUGCAUAUGGCUACAAAGCAAUUGAAGAUUUAUGGGAAGCCUGUCUGGUGUGCAGUGAACCUAGAAUAUAAUCUGACUUGCUCUUUUGUCACCUGUGAAUUUUCUUGGAAGUUUUGUAUAGGAAAACCCUGAUCACAGGUUUUUAAGUAUUUUUUUAACUAAGCAGACAUUCAUAAAUACAUUAUAAAGUUGUCAACUAGUCUAACAGCUUUCUGUUUGCCCUUUUCAAGGUGGUAGAAAUUGUGCAUAUUUUGUAUGUCUCCAAAUAAAGUAUACUUCAAAGGAAAA